rnacentral:tRNA from 1 species
GCGAAAGUGGCGGAACUGGCAGACGCGCUGGACUUAGGAUCCAGUAGCCGAAAGGCUGUGGGGGUUCAAAUCCCCCCUUUCGCACCA